AUACGGAGGAUGCGAGCGUUAUCCGGAUUUAUUGGGCUUAAAGGGAGCGUAGGUGGGAUAUUAAGUCAGCUGUGAAAGUUUGGGGCUCAACCUUAAAAUUGCAGUUGAUACUGGUUUCCUUGAGUACGGUAUAGGAGGGCGAGAUUCGUGGGGUAGGGGGGAAAUGCUUAGAUAUUACGAAGAACUCCGAUCGCGAAGGCAGCUCACCGGGCCGGAACUGACACUGAUGCUCGAAAGUGCGGGUAUCAAACAGGAUUAGAUACCCUGGUAGUCCGCACAGUAAACGAUGAAUACUCGCUGUUUGCGAUACACUGUAAGCGGCCAAGCGAAAGCGUUAAGUAUUCCACCUGGGGAGUACGCCGGCAACGGUGAAACUCAAAGGAAUUGACGGGG
rnacentral:rRNA from 1 species